rnacentral:rRNA from 1 species
AGGAUUAACGCUGGCGGCGUGCCUGACACAUGCAAGUCGAACGAGGCCGCAAGGCCGAGUGGCGGACGGGUGAGUAACACGUGACCAACCAACCUCGAAGUUGGGAAUAGCUCUGCGAAAGUAGGGGUAAUACCGAAUGUGGCCCAGGGCGGGCAUCCGCCUUGGUCUAAAGAUUCAUCGCUUCGAGACGGGGUCGCGGCCUAUUAGCUUGUUGGUGAGGUAACGGCUCACCAAGGCGAUGAUGGGUAGCUGGUCUGAGAGGACGACCAGCCACACUGGGACUGAGACACGGCCCAGACUCCUACGGGAGGCAGCAGUGAGGAAUCUUCCGCAAUGGGCGAAAGCCUGACGGAGCAACGCCGCGUGUGGGAUGAAGACUCUAGGGUUGUAAACCACUGGUCGGAGGGGACGAGUCGGUGACCGGUACCCUCCAAGAAACGCCCCGGCUAACUACGCGCCAGCAGCCGC